GAUGAACGCUGGCGGCGUGCCUAACACAUGCAAGUCGAACGAAGCUUGACGGAUGAUUUCUUCGGAAUGAAACCAGAUAUGACUUAGUGGCGGACGGGUGAGUAACACGUGAGCAACCUGCCUUUCAGAGGGGGAUAACGGCUGGAAACGGUCGCUAAUACCGCAUGAUGUGUUCGGAUGGCAUCAUCUGAACAUCAAAGAUUUAUCGCUGAAAGAUGGGCUCGCGUCUGAUUAGAUAGUUGGUGGGGUAACGGCCUACCAAGUCUACGAUCAGUAGCCGGACUGAGGGGUUGAACGGCCACAUUGGGACUGAGAUACGGCCCAGACUCCUACGGGAGGCAGCAGUGGGGAAUAUUGCACAAUGGGGGAAACCCUGAUGCAGCAACGCCGCGUGAAGGAUGACGGUUUUCGAAUUGUAAACUUCUUUUCUUAGUGACGAAGACAGUGACGGUAGCUAAGGAAUAAGCAUCGGCUAACUACGUG
rnacentral:rRNA from 1 species